GGGAACUAGGUUGAGGGAUUCAGAGCAGGUCUUCAGCGAUGGUAGGGAGAAAGCAUGAAAGGAAAAUAACAUAAAUCUGGGAAAUAAGGGGAAAUGCUAAACCCAAAGGGCAAGAAGAUGCCCAGGAUUUCACCUAGGACAAGCUGGGCCAGAGGCUUGCAACAGCAGAGGAGUCCCAGUUGCCCAGUGCCAGGACCACUAAGUCAGAACGCCUCACUGUAGGCCUUGGAAAUGCAAUCCUUAUGGAGCAUAUGCUCGAUUACCUUCACAGAGGAUCAAGACUGUACUCCUAUUCCCAUAUUUCAAAUGAUAAUUUUUCUUGAUUAUGUGUGAAAUAUGCUUAUCUGUGGAGGCCUGGAUCAGUUAUGACUGUGCCCACAGUUCACAUCUGCAGGAGGAAACUCUUUGCAGGUCAUUGGUGGCCUCAACAUGGAUGAUUUCAGCACAGUGGUAUGAGUGGAAGUCAUACAGCAGUUGGUUGAGAAAAUGAGUGGAAGAUGAAGAAGAGGUGACCGCAAUUCCAUCUGUUUCCAGAAGCUUGACCAUAAAAGGGAAGAAAUAGAUGGUUAGUACCUAGAGAAGAAUAUAGGUUUAAGGAAGGUGGUUAUUAUCUUUAAGACUAGGGAAACUUGAUACUGCUUAUCUGAAAGAGGAAAAAUAUAACAAAGAGGAGAGGUUGAAGAGAUGUGGGUGAGAGGAGAAGACUAAUGGUGCUGGGGUCAGGAGAAGGAAGGUGGAAACAAAUCUUUGGUGGAAGGUGGGAGCCUUUCUGAGGAGUGGAAGUUGAGAGGAGUACGCAGAAACUCAGGAUUGUGGGGAAGAAGGAUUGGAAUGAUUUUGAGGAAGUUCAAAUCAACAGCUUCAAAUUUUUUAAAUCAAAAUAUUAACUAUAAUUCUGCCCUUUCUGAGCA